rnacentral:misc_RNA from 1 species
UGAAUCUUUAUCCAACAGCUCACAAGGCUGUGAUACAGUGGUUAUCCAAACCCAAACACCCACAAAAUAAUACCACAUAGAAGGUCAGAACACCAGCAAGCUUACAAAAAAAACCACCCAACCUAGAAUACAGUAUUGAACAGCAAAACACCCAAAGGGUCACACCCAAAACAAAGCACUACACUAAAAGUCAGAAUACCCAAAGGGUUACCAGGCCCAAAAACAAGUCACCAAAGGUCUUGUUGCUAACAGGGAUGGACUCCUCUCAAGACAACAUCGAAGAAGUCAGAGUUGGAAAAAUUGAAGCAUGCUCCCUCACACGCCAAGCUAAAAACAAAGAACUGUGAAUAGUGUUGAUGAACA